AAAGGAAAAGUUGAAAUUUAUUUUUUGGAACAGGGAAUAGUUUCUAACUCUUCUUUUUUCUCAUUCAUCUAUAUGUCAGAGAUUUACUGGAAAAAGGUAACUUACACGGCCAUUGUAUUGAUUAAGCAACUAAUAUAUUUCUAUGAUGAUUAAACAUGGUGCAUAUUUGAAUUUAGAAGUGUUCAAUUUUAUAUUUGAAUUGAGGCGAGAUGACAGAAGAGGGAGCUUUAGCUUUGAAGAUGUAAUAUUAAAGUGUGACAUGUUAUUAUGUUAGAUCUUUCGUUACAUAAAAAGUAAUCGAGCGCUUGACAUGACAUCAAAUGAAAUUCCUUUUAUCAAUCGGACAACAAUUCAUUCUUAACUUGUCAACAUCUUAAAGGGGCUUUUCAUCUCACAUUUUUUACCUUUCAUCCUCUUAUCCUAAAUUUAGGGCUUUUCACUUAUUGAUGAAGAAAAGAGGUUGUUGGCCUAAAAUUCUAAUCAAGUUAAAGGGGCUGUUAGUUUUAUUAUUUUAUUUGAUAUUUGACCCAUUGCUGCGUUUGUGGAAAGACAAGGGCAUUUGAUCAAUUUUGAUAGCUUUGUUAAUGUUUUCUCGUUUGGCUUUGUGGCAAUUGUUGUGCUCAUAUUAAUGUUCCUUGUUAUGACUAUUUUUGAGAGGUUUCUCUGACCUAGAUCUUCUGCCACCGCCGCCAGUCGAAACCACAGGGAUGUCGAGGCACAAAUGAUGUUCCAUGGAAAACUCGAUUACCCUUCUCCUAACGUAUGCUCUCUCUGUCACUUUUUAUACAUAUACAGAGUAUAAUAUAUACACACAUACGAGUUAUGUAUUAGUACUAGUAUUGAAUAUAAUGUGUUUGUAUGAAUUAAUUGUGUUUGUAAUUAAUGUAUGUCAAUUAUUUGUUCUUCCCUAUCUAGUAUUUCAUAUGUUCAUUUUCUGGAAUAUGUAGAUAUUGUUGUGACUGCACGAAGGAUUUAUUUUUUAGAUAAUAAAAUAUCCCAUGUAAUCUCUCUCUACCAAUUUAUCUAUCCUUUUCAGAUUUCUUUUUUUUUUUUUUGCAUUACUGUGGCCAGUAUGCCUUUUUUUUCUUUGUGUAAUUAUAACCAAUCUAUGCUAUUCAACUUUAGUGGUAAGGUUGUUACUUUGUGAGGAUGAUAUACCCGAGGAUUAUCGUAGUGAGGAAGAACAAAGUAUGGAUGAGGAAGAGGAAGAUGAUCAGAACUAGCAUCAAAUAAGGUAUGCCUAUUCUGUAACAUACAAAUCAUUUCAGUCACAUUUUUGUGAUAUUUAUAUAGUUGAUAUUUUGUUGUCUAUGCGUCAUGGUAACUGUUGUAUUUUGUAUACCAUCCCUAGUUGAGUGUCUUUACAUGCCUCUUUCGAUUUUAUGCCAAAAAUUAAGGACACUUGGAUGUUGAAUUGAAUGACGUUGGGACUGUAAGCAGUGGCAGUAAGUUGUCAUGGCCUGACUUGUUCUCUAUUUUAUUAAACAAAUUGUGCUUAUUAAAUUCCUUGUUUUUCCUUAGGUGGCUGACCUACUUUCUAAGGGGAGUUUAAUUUGUGAUGUAUACUCAUUUGAUUUGAACCGAGCUCUUGAAACUGCUCAGACUAUAUCAAGCAGCUGAGGUGUUGCUGAGGUAUGAAUAGUGUAGCUUAGAAAAGGGAUACUAGUUUAAUGUAUGUUGUAAUAGAUUUCAGUUCUCUGGUCCUACUGGAUGCAUCUAUCUUGGGCAUACUUUUCAUUGAACGUUCAGUUUAACAUUUUCUCUUUUUUCAUUUCUUUGGUCCUAAAGGAUAGAGCUGCUUUAAAACAAAC
rnacentral:lncRNA from 1 species